UUAAAUUGAAGAGUUUGAUCAUGGCUCAGAUUGAACGCUGGCGGCAGGCCUAACACAUGCAAGUCGAACGGUAACAGGAAGAAGCUUGCUUCUUUGCUGACGAGUGGCGGACGGGUGAGUAAUGUCUGGGAAACUGCCU
rnacentral:rRNA from 1 species